AAUUGAAGAGUUUGAUCAUGGCUCAGAUUGAACGCUGGCGGCAGGCCUAACACAUGCAAGUCGAACGGUAACAGAAAGCAGCUUGCUGCUUUGCUGACGAGUGGCGGACGGGUGAGUAAUGUCUGGGAAACUGCCUGAUGGAGGGGGAUAACUACUGGAAACGGUAGCUAAUACCGCAUAACGUCGCAAGACCAAAGAGGGGGACCUUCGGGCCUCUUGCCAUCGGAUGUGCCCAGAUGGGAUUAGCUAGUAGGUGGGGUAAAGGCUCACCUAGGCGACGAUCCCUAGCUGGUCUGAGAGGAUGACCAGCCACACUGGAACUGAGACACGGUCCAGACUCCUACGGGAGGCAGCAGUGGGGAAUAUUGCACAAUGGGCGCAAGCCUGAUGCAGCCAUGCCGCGUGUAUGAAGAAGGCCUUCGGGUUGUAAAGUACUUUCAGCGGGGAGGAAGGGAGUAAAGUUAAUACCUUUGCUCAUUGACGUUACCCGCAGAAGAAGCACCGGCUAACUCCGUGCCAGCAGCCGCGGUAAUACGGAGGGUGCAAGCGUUAAUCGGAAUUACUGGGCGUAAAGCGCACGCAGGCGGUUUGUUAAGUCAGAUGUGAAAUCCCCGGGCUCAACCUGGGAACUGCAUCUGAUACUGGCAAGCUUGAGUCUCGUAGAGGGGGGUAGAAUUCCAGGUGUAGCGGUGAAAUGCGUAGAGAUCUGGAGGAAUACCGGUGGCGAAGGCGGCCCCCUGGACGAAGACUGACGCUCAGGUGCGAAAGCGUGGGGAGCAAACAGGAUUAGAUACCCUGGUAGUCCACGCCGUAAACGAUGUCGACUUGGAGGUUGUGCCCUUGAGGCGUGGCUUCCGGAGCUAACGCGUUAAGUCGACCGCCUGGGGAGUACGGCCGCAAGGUUAAAACUCAAAUGAAUUGACGGGGGCCCGCACAAGCGGUGGAGCAUGUGGUUUAAUUCGAUGCAACGCGAAGAACCUUACCUGGUCUUGACAUCCACGGAAGUUUUCAGAGAUGAGAAUGUGCCUUCGGGAACCGUGAGACAGGUGCUGCAUGGCUGUCGUCAGCUCGUGUUGUGAAAUGUUGGGUUAAGUCCCGCAACGAGCGCAACCCUUAUCCUUUGUUGCCAGCGGUCCGGCCGGGAACUCAAAGGAGACUGCCAGUGAUAAACUGGAGGAAGGUGGGGAUGACGUCAAGUCAUCAUGGCCCUUACGACCAGGGCUACACACGUGCUACAAUGGCGCAUACAAAGAGAAGCGAUCUCGCGAGAGCAAGCGGACCUCAUAAAGUGCGUCGUAGUCCGGAUUGGAGUCUGCAACUCGACUCCAUGAAGUCGGAAUCGCUAGUAAUCGUGGAUCAGAAUGCCACGGUGAAUACGUUCCCGGGCCUUGUACACACCGCCCGUCACACCAUGGGAGUGGGUUGCAAAAGAAGUAGGUAGCUUAACCUUCGGGAGGGCGCUUACCACUUUGUGAUUCAUGACUGGGGUGAAGUCGUAACAAGGUAACCGUAGGGGAACCUGCGGUUGGAUCACCUCCUUA
rnacentral:rRNA from 1 species